UACGUAGGGUGCGAGCGUUAAUCGGAAUUACUGGGCGUAAAGCGUGCGUAGGCGGUUCGUUAUGUCUGCUGUGAAAUCCCCGGGCUCAACCUGGGAAUGGCAGUGGAAACUGGCGGGCUUGAGUGUGGCAGAGGGGGGUGGAAUUCCGCGUGUAGCAGUGAAAUGCGUAGAGAUGCGGAGGAACACCGAUGGCGAAGGCACCCUCC
rnacentral:rRNA from 1 species